rnacentral:ncRNA from 1 species
GAGAGAUUCCUGUCCUGAACAAGGCAUUGGCUAUUUGGACCAGAAAUGGCUUCAGGUCUCCUCAUCCUGAAAAGAUAUGGACUGGACAGGCCUGAAAAAGUAUGCAAGCAUUUUGUGCAAGCAGAAAGCAUUGAGUGAAGUCCUGAUAACCUUACACAUUCAUGGAAAACAGUUGAAACAGUUCUCAUUUGCCUGAGAAAUGCAUUUUGGAAUUGUCAUGGUGCAGCUUUUAAGUGGACGCAGAACAGACCAGCUCCUAGAAAUGGGAUCUGAAAUAAAAGCGAUAAAUGUGACAUCCUGCUCUGAGGACAGCGUCAGGUGGGGAGUUUGGCUGGGGCUGUACACCUGUCAAACCGUAAGGCAGGUCUCUUAAGGUGAGCUCAGGGAGGACGGAAACCUCCCGCAGAGGAGAAGGGCAAAAGCUUGCUUGAUCUUGACUUUCAGUACGAAUAUAGACCGUGAAAUCAGAGCCUCAUGAUCCUUCUGACUUUUUGGGUUUUGCCCAAAACCCCAAAUAUCUCGCACUCAUACUAUGUUUACGCCUGUAAACUGUAAUUGUUAUUUUUCAGGAAGAGUUUUAGAACACUUGGAGAUG